CUAGCAGCAAUCGUGAAGAUCUCCAGCGAGAGGGCAGUCGGCCAGGCUUGGUCACCCAGGGAGCAUCUACUCAAUGUGGGACACACACGCAUUCGUGAAAGUUAUCUUGAUUGCACGAGCUGCCACCAGCCUGCUUGAGCUCUAACUACAACUGGAGCAGAGGACAGGUUUCCAUCGACGUGCUCGAUGCACAAGCAUCAUCAUUCUCCCGAGUGACCAGCAGAUGUCACUAUUAUCUCUGUGUUAAAUCUCACUGGACUGCCGCUGCUGACAUGUCUGGCUCACACUGAUAGCAUUUGUCAAAUUUGUUUCAUAUCAUUACACUUUUGUAUUCAACACACCCCCUUGAAGUGAACUAUUGUCAAAAUGAUAAAUCUUUUUAAUGAGUUCAAAGCAGCCGAUGAUUUUGGCAAGUCUGAAAACAACCCUAAUGAAGUCAUAAGGAAUUUGUUGAAGGUCUAAACGUGAUAAAUGUGAUAAAUAUGUGACUUCUGGCUUGUUUUUGAAUUUUUCUUCUCAAACUGCCUUAACUAUACUGGCAUACGGAUGUAUUGUCCUGGACUAAGAUUAUGCAAAUGGGCGACAAGUAAUCAAAGUUCAAACUGAAUUGUUUAAGAGUUCAUUGAACUGGAACAAAUAAAUGUGGAGGAAAUUACUUCAGUUCGUCAUCGCUGUGGCAAAUUAGGCAAGGACCGGAUAAAUGGAUUAGCAGAAAUGUGUGUGCUCAUCGGGUAUGUGUUGGAGGAAUAAUACAUGUAUGUGAAUGUGUCAUGCAGUUGUGCGUGUGCCCUUUUUGUGUGCUUGCUUUAUUUCAUCCAUACAAAAAUUACUCCAAUGUGUGUUUUUGUCUCCGCAUUGGAGGCAAAAUGUUGCAUCCAUCUUUUUAAUUCCAUACAUCCUACUCCUCCCUGUGUUGUCAUGGUGAUGUGUCCCUUCCCAACCUGCUAUGCAAGCAUUGUUCCUCAUUUUGCAGUCUGACACACAUACAGCAGAGCUACCAUGGACACACACCUCACUUCAAACUCAUUGAUGAUGUAGGCACGCGGUGCAGUGAACCAAAAUUCAAAACGGAAUUAUCUUCAAUUCAUUGCGACAAGAUUUUAUUUCCCUUUCAUUAGGGGCCGAGCACCGACAUGGUCGGAGGAGAGGAC
ensembl:lncRNA